UUUUGGUCAAGAGUGGCUUUAGAUGGCCUUUUCCCACAUGGAUAGGUGAAUGUCAUCAGGCUUCUGCUGGUUCAUGUCUCGGCUUUAGAACCUGCUGCUCCUUAGGAAGUUAAAGCUCUGGUUAGCACAUGAAAUCUUUUUUUUUCCCUAAUUUGUAUGUUUAUGUAGAUAAACAUACUUGCAUAGUUGACAAUGAUGACAAGGUAUGGAAAAUCAUUUUUGAGAUAACUAGUUUCUUUCUUGAGAUAACAAGGUAUGGAAAAUCAUAUUGAAGUAAGAAGUAGAAAUUAGUUAGGAAUUGAAUGAGAACUGAACUAAAUACAACUCUUGGUUCGACAUCAGUUGUCUUCACCUAUUACCACCGCAUUCAGCAUAUACAAACCAUUGAAGGCAUCCAGUUCUUGGCGCUUAAAAGGUCAAUUAAUCCGAUGCUGACGCUUAGGAAAAUUUCGAAUAGCUUUCACUUUAAGCAAUACUAUAAGUUCCUUCAUUUUUCUGCCGUCCGCUUUUACUGUAUUGAUCUUCUUUUAAUUAUUUACAGAUUGUCUAGCUAAGUUAAGAUAUGGAGGUUUAUUUGUAAAGUUUUGAGUGCUUUACUGGCAUAAGCUUUAUGCUAUUAAACGUUUUGAUUAAAGAUAUACUUAUUUAUUGCUAUUUAAUUUAAUAAAAGACUGAAAUUUGCGACAAAAAUGUUUUAAGGGUUUAAGUUAUAGAAUUUUGAGAUAAAAUUAUCUUUUACUUAUCACCAAUGUAUUGGAAGACUUUAUAUGCUGUCUAGCUUCUUUCAUGUUAAAUUGUUGCAAAAACUUAUAAGCUUUCUAAUUACCCAGCUUUGGCUUUUCAUCCUAUUCAAACAUGUUUCCAACAAUAUUAAUCUCAGAGAGCUUACGAACUCUUUUAUAAACUUUUCUUAGCCAAAAAAUAAUUUAUGUCAAACACUGUACUAGCCAUUUAAGUAUCUUUCUGCACUUCUAGGAUGUUGAAGAGGCUAGUGUUAGGCAAAAGAGCUUUUCUUGGACAUGAUUUGGUGAAAAACCUUAAGUGAUUAGAGCUGUAACUCUCCAACCGUAAUGUAAAUGCUUUCUUUAGCUGGGCCAUUUUAUGCAUCUUUUAGAAUGUAGCAUGCGCAUUAGUCCUGCAUAAUUGCUUGUGAAGAAAAAGAUAUUUAGGAUCUAAUUGAUCUAUUCAUAAGCUAAUGACUUAAUCUCUCUUAAUUUGUGAUUGAUAAUCGCAUGUAUGCAUGACAGUGCACUGUAUUAAUCUGAAUGUCUUAAUGUUCCCCUUUCUAUUGUAGCACGGUGGUGAUCAGUGGUAUGACUUUGAUGAUAGCCAUGUCUAUCCGAUCGGCCAGGAAAAGAUAAAAACUUCAGCUGCUUAUGUUCUUUUCUACAGAAGAGUUGCGGAGGUAUAACAUUAGAUUAGCAUUGUCAAUUUCUGAAGAACUACGUCGAGAUUGACUUAUUAACAGUUUUGCAAUCUUAGACCUAAAAUUCUUUCGAGUCCAUUAUUAACUAUUAACUGUAUCAUGGUGGGAGCUAAAGCAGUAAGACCAUAAAGAGGAGAAUAUUUUUAGUGAAUUUAAGAAGAAAACACAUGUAACUAACUGCUAGAGGAAGAAUGUUUAGCUUUUUAUUAGAACAUAGGAAUUUUUUCUAAGAAGGGGUUUGCUUUCAGUGUCCACUCAAAUGUAUGUUGUACAACUGAGUGUAGAUUGAAUCAUUUGAUCAGCAAUUUUGCUUCUAUCUGGAUGUGCUGUCUCAAAUUCAGAAUUUUGUUUUAAUGCUUCUAUAUUUUCUGAGUAGCUUGAGCUCGUAAACAUUCUAUAUAUUCCUGGGACAAAUUGAGCAAAGAUUUUAAUCCAUUGUAAAGCUUUUAUAAUUCAGUCUUAUGGCUGUUUGUGGAUGGAAUUCUUCUGCACGCAUGGAAUGUGUAUGUCAAUGUCAUCCCCCAGGGCUUAAACUGUGUAAAACAACAGCAAGGUCUGGUAAAUACUAUGUUUUCCUUAGCUUUGAGUAAUUUUUGGAUAUUUAUUUCGCCGAGCAUGAUAAAACAAGGUUCUUCAAUAUAUGGAUCUUCAUUUAUGUGAAAGAAUUUGCGGCUUGUACUGUUUUCUUAUUGUGAGGUUGCUGGAUCUUCCUACAUAUCUGAUUUGUGUUAAUGUACUGACACAGUCCGAGUUAUAUAAGAAAGAGGGUGCAGUGCAGCAUAAGGUGAUUUCGCUAAGUAAGUUAUCAAAACUAUACCUUCAUCGCUGUUGAACUUGCUCAAAAUGGUUGUUGAAGUCUGUCUCGGACCCUUGAAGAAAUCCGAUUGUGAUGAAUUCAGUUUCCUGUCGAAGUUACUCUGGAAUUAUCUCCUAGCAUGCAUGGUCCGAAGUUGGCAGGACGAUUUAUCAGGUAGAAAAUAGAAAAUUUCGUCCAAUUUACAUGGAGAUUUCUUUCAGCAACCACAUAAAAGUGAAUGCAGAAUUAGGUCUCAGGAGCUUUUACAAUGCUCUGUUGCACAGAUUAUCGAGAAAUUUGUCUCCUCCUCCGAACUUGGAAAAGAAAGAGAAAAAUUAGCCGACGAUUCUAGGUUUCGACAACCAUCAUGUUACUGAAAAAUACAGAAGGGAAACACAGAAUUAGGUGAGAGAGGAGCAGAGAGAGGAGACAGCAAAGAGAGGGUUUUUUUUUUUUUUUCUCUCUAAUUUCAUUCACUAACAGUUCUUAUCCUUUUAUAGCCCUAGCUUAUAAUGAACCUACACAAUCUUUCACAUCAUCUUUACAUAUAGCAACACUCCUGUAAAAAUUACCUUGAACCUUGAGGUGAGAUCAGAAAUGGGUAUCAAUCAAAAUUGAAAGUUUCUCAUCAGAGAGAGAGAAAUUCUAAUUGCACAGAGCUCGCAUGGAGUUGUCUGAGGACUUGGUACCAAAUUUAAUAUACUUACCAUACCAUAUAAAA
rnacentral:lncRNA from 1 species